rnacentral:lncRNA from 1 species
UGAUAUGCAUGCAGAGAUUAGCUUUUUUUUUCCUUUUUUUUUUUCAUUUUUUCAUUUUUUUUUCAUUUUCUUUUUUUUUUAUCGCGUUUCUUUUGAAAAAUAAAUAUGCUAUGAUGCACAUGAUGCAGACUGGACUGACUGGUUGCAUCUCUAAAUCACAAGGUCGAAGCUUCAGUCUAAACUCAGAACCCCAAAUCCAAUUUGAAAACCCAAGAUCAACUGAG